rnacentral:tRNA from 1 species
UCCCUGAUAGCUCAGUUGGUAGAGCGACGGACUGUUAAUCCGCAGGUCACUGGUUCGAGUCCAGUUCGGGGAGCCA